AUGGAGACCUCCUUCCUCCCGACCGCGCGGCCCCUCCCCGCGUUCCAAACCCUAGCAGCGGCCCCGCGCUGCCCCCGCCCUCUGCGCCGCUCCACCAUCCGCGCUGCCAUCUCCCGCGGGCGCAAGGAGGACACGGUCGCCGUGGUCCGCGAGCAGCUGGAGGGGUGCUACCUCCUGGCCGGCAUCCGGUACGAGGGCCUGACGGUGAAGCAGUUCCAGGGCAUCCGCGACGCGCUGCCGGAGUCGUGCCACCUCCUGGUGGCGAAGAACACGCUGGUGGGGAAGGCCAUCGAGGGCACCCCCUGGGAGGCGCUCAAGCCGUGCAUGAAGGGCAUGAACGCCUGGCUCUUCGUCCACACGGAGGAGGUCCCCGUCGCGCUCAAGCCCUACCGCGCCUUCCAGAAGGAGGAGCGCGUCGAGGAGACCAACGACUUCAUCGGGGCGGUGUUCGAGGGAAAGUACUACGAGCCCGGCGAGUUCAAGUCGCUCGAGACCAUGCCCAGCCGCGCCGAGGUCUACUCCAAGCUGCUCGGCGCCCUUAAUGGGCCGGCCACCUCCCUCGUCACCACGCUGCAGGCGCCAGCCAGGGACGUCGUCGCCGUGCUCUCCGCCUACGUGCGCAAGCUCGAGGAGGAGUCCGGCGCCGGCGCCGGCGCCGCCUAG
rnacentral:rRNA from 1 species